UUUUCAUUUUAUUAGGUUAAUAAAACUUGGUUUUCGAGCAUUUCACUGCCCCAGGAGGGCAGUGGGCCCCCUGUCCAAUUCAUCAACUGCCUAAUGAGCGGCCCCGGAGGUCCCAGCCCGUCCAUUCCAGAAGCUCUCUCUGCCUUGUAAAGGUGAGGCCCACGGGCUGCACUGUAUAUUUUGUCUGUUGGUUUCCCAAAUUCUCCUGCCAGCUUGACUGUCACUUUUCGGGAUUUAUAUGAGGCAGCGGCACCGCGGGCAGCUCCCCUCCAUAGGGGAACCCCUCCUUUGCCUACUCUUCACACACACCACACACUCCGGACCAUAAAAUAACGUUUCUGUAAUAAAAUGAAGUAGAAAUGUGUCGAUGUUAGCAUUUUAGAACAUUCCAGCACCAGGGCUGUGGGAAAUACCUUUGUUUGUACUAAGGAGGGAAGCUCUGUGAGAGUAGGGAUAAAAUUGUGUAAAAAAAAAAAAAAAGACUUUAGUAAGAAGAAAUAGUCUGGGAUUUAAGGAAACGAGUGACAAAUAGGAGGUGUUUGUGUGCGUGUGCGCGUGCGGUCUCCACACCUCCCGCCCCUGGUUUAUUGUCUGUGUUUCAGACAAAGACCAGUAGAAGAGGAAGUGGGUGCUGUUUGUGUCCUGGCCCAGGGUCUGGACUCUGUCCCCUUCUAGAACAUUCUUCGUCUUCCUACCCCUGCAGGCUCUCUUGCCUUCGCCAGCUUGUCAGGACACUGCCAGCUCUGGGCGUGGGGCUGCGUCAGUCCCGACACGGUGGGAGAGCUGGAAUCGGAGCACACGAGCUUGGGGACACCACAGCCGCCCACCUUGAGCCCAGAGGAGAAGGAGCACGGAGGGGAGGUUAUGCUCACCAUGCCUGCAGUACAAGGGAAAGUGGAAAAGCUGUCUUGGACCUUCUUACCACCCACCUGGCCCUGAUGCCAGUUCACAGACCUCAUCCAAACAAGUGGCUGGGAUUUGGGGACUUCUUAUAACACCCGACUGUUUGCCUUCCUGCAGAAGGAUUUGCCGUUACCCUGUGCACUUGCGAGAGGACCACGGCCCAGCGCACGGAGGUAGUGUCCAUGGUUCUCAUCACCGGUUUCUUCUUGUCUUAACUGCCCCCGAAACAGGC
rnacentral:lncRNA from 1 species